GGGCUCACACAAGCGGUGGAGCAUGUUGUUUAAUUCGAUGCAACGCGAAGAACCUUACCUGGGCUUGACAUUCAUGUGGUACCAAACCGAAAGGGGCGGGACCGUCUUUUGGCGGAGCAUGAACAGGUAUUGCAUGGCUGUCGUCAGCUCGUGUCGUGAGAUGUUGGUUAAGUCCCGUAACGAGCGCAACCCUUAUCCUUAGUUGCCAGCACAUAAUGGUGGGGACUCUAGGGAGACUGCCGGUGUCAAACCGGAGGAAGGCGGGACGACGUCAAGUCAUCAUGGUCCUUACGCCCAGGGCCACAAACGUGCUACAAUGGUAGGGACAGAGAGCAGCCACUUCGCGAGAAGGAGCGAA
rnacentral:rRNA from 1 species